rnacentral:rRNA from 1 species
CAGGCUUAACACAUGCAAGUCGAGGGGCAGCAUGGUCUUAGCUUGCUAAGGCCGAUGGCGACCGGCGCACGGGUGAGUAACACGUAUCCAACCUGCCGUCUACUCUUGGACAGCCUUCUGAAAGGAAGAUUAAUACAAGAUGGCAUCAUGAGUCCGCAUGUUCACAUGAUUAAAGGUAUUCCGGUAGACGAUGGGGAUGCGUUCCAUUAGAUAGUAGGCGGGGUAACGGCCCACCUAGUCUUCGAUGGAUAGGGGUUCUGAGAGGAAGGUCCCCCACAUUGGAACUGAGACACGGUCCAAACUCCUACGGGAGGCAGCAGUGAGGAAUAUUGGUCAAUGGGCGAGAGCCUGAACCAGCCAAGUAGCGUGAAGGAUGACUGCCCUAUGGGUUGUAAACUUCUUUUAUAAAGGAAUAAAGUCGGGUAUGGAUACCCGUUUGCAUGUACUUUAUGAAUAAGGAUCGGCUAACUCCGUGCCAGCAGCCGCGGUAAUACGGAGGAUCCGAGCGUUAUCCGGAUUUAUUGGGUUUAAAGGGAGCGUAGAUGGAUGUUUAAGUCAGUUGUGAAAGUUUGCGGCUCAACCGUAAAAUUGCAGUUGAUACUGGAUAUCUUGAGUGCAGUUGAGGCAGGCGGAAUUCGUGGUGUAGCGGUGAAAUGCUUAGAUAUCACGAAGAACUCCGAUUGCGAAGGCAGCCUGCUAAGCUGCAACUGACAUUGAGGCUCGAAAGUGUGGGUAUCAAACAGGAUUAGAUACCCUGGUAGUCCACACGGUAAACGAUGAAUACUCGCUGUUUGCGAUAUACUGCAAGCGGCCAAGCGAAAGCGUUAAGUAUUCCACCUGGGGAGUACGCCGGCAACGGUGAAACUCAAAGGAAUUGACGGGGGCCCGCACAAGCGGAGGAACAUGUGGUUUAAUUCGAUGAUACGCGAGGAACCUUACCCGGGCUUAAAUUGCAGAUGAAUUACGGUGAAAGCCGUAAGCCGCAAGGCAUCUGUGAAAGUGCUGCAUGGUUGUCGUCAGCUCGUGCCGUGAGGUGUCGGCUUAAGUGCCAUAACGAGCGCAACCCUUGUUGUCAGUUACUAACAGGUUCCGCUGAGGACUCUGACAAGACUGCCAUCGUAAGAUGUGAGGAAGGUGGGGAUGACGUCAAAUCAGCACGGCCCUUACGUCCGGGGCUACACACGUGUUACAAUGGGGGGUACAGAGGGCCGCUACCACGCGAGUGGAUGCCAAUCCCCAAAACCUCUCUCAGUUCGGACUGGAGUCUGCAACCCGACUCCACGAAGCUGGAUUCGCUAGUAAUCGCGCAUCAGCCACGGCGCGGUGAAUACGUUCCCGGGCCUUGUACACACCGCCCGUCAAGCCAUGGGAGCCGGGGGUACCUGAAGUGCGUAACCGCGAGGAGCGCCCUAGGGUAAAACUGGUGACU